CCCCUCUCAGGAUUGCACCUGGAGAGUUUCCAGUACUCUACCAGUUUGGCUAUGAGAGGGAGAGUCAAGGAGAGGCAUACCUGUUCCAUUCCUAGCUUGGGCAGUGGCUAGUAGGUGGAAGGCAAUUUGCUACAAGU